rnacentral:sRNA from 1 species
UCAGGGAAAAAAAAAACUCCUCCUAUUUGCUGGCUGUCAAUAAAACAAGAACUAAGGAAAAAGUGUGCAGUAGGAUAACUUUCCAAACUUCUCCCAAAGCAUCACUGUCUCCUUUUCCAUUGAAACAGUACGACUGAUGGUCCCAGAAGGAGAAAAUCCUUCCUGAGGAUAUGAGCCAAUGUUUUGAGAUUCAAGUUCCGUCAGCAGCCAAGUCAGUUCUCUCCAGUCUGGCCUGCCAGACGCCUCGUGCAAGCAAAGGAACUUGCAAAUGCCUUGCAUGGACAUUCCAUUCUUAGUACCAUGGAGCUAAAGAUGGCCGAAUCAGAAUGAUUUCUCCUUACUGGACAAAUGACUGCAGCCAUUUUCAGUUGCCCGGUUCCUCACUUUUCUUGGUAUUAGAGACUUAAAAUGACAUCACCCCAUCGAGUCAUCCAAAGAAUGGGAAAGACAGCGAAGAAGAGCUCCAGCCCCUGCCAGCAUUGGAUAGAGUCUUUUUGGACCACCAAAAGGACACAAAGACUUCUAGAAAAAAGCUGAAACGACAAUCAAAGUUCACUGAAGAAAUGGCAGAUGGAUCAUAAGAUACAGGAGUUGCUGCCAAAACAGGACAGGAUCAGCUGGAAGGAGGAGGGAGGAUCCAGCUCUACACGGCUAGUUCUGAAACUUCAACCAGGACUUCUUUAAGCAUCUAGCACUUUAGAAAUGCAGCUGGGCUGUGGAAGCACUGAAUUGAUUUCUCUUAUCAACUUCACAUUUGCAUUCUAUUUCCCUCCUGUUAUAUGCAGCUAAAAUGAGAGAGAAGAAGGAUGGAAACAGAAGAGAGAUUGAGAAGGGUUGAAAGAGGCAAGGGGAAGUUAAACCAACAAAGCUGUGAAGGGAGGUCUGAUGCAGGCCUUCUGCGUUUGAGCAAGGGAACUAACCCAGUUUUCCAAAUGCUUAUGUGCGAUUAUGUGUUGGUUCUUGGUUCAGUGCAGAAGUGAUAAGGUGUGUCUUGAGGCUCCUGACAAAGGGCUCUACAUUCCAGAGACUAGUUGGUGGAGACUGUUGCAUGGAGGGAGCAGGAGGAAGAUGACUGUACAGAUGGUGAAGUGGAAGGUUUCUUGCACAUAUUCUCAACGGUACCCUGAAAAUAUUGCCAAUCAUCAAUCAUUAGUUUAUCCAAUGCUACAUGUACAAUUCCCAUAACUACAUUGUGGUAAAGACAGUCUGAUGAGGAUCAUUAGGAGACUGUCAGCAGAAGACAAAUGGGAAAUUGCAUUUAGGGAAAAACGAGGAUCAAAGGCAUGCAAGCAAGAAGCCUGCUGGAGUUUGGAGGAAAGAAGACAUGUUAGAACCAGAUUGUUUCAAUGAAGCAAUACUGUAGAGGAAUCGUCUAUGUCACAGGGUCAGGGUUGAACAGGUAGAACUAUUUCCACCACAGUGAUGAAUACUCUUGGCUACAUGAGGGAGCACAUCUGGCCUCUUUUGUUCAUAUCACUCAGGCCCCAUCAGAGGUCUGGGAGAAAUAAAACUGACUUCUGAUUUCGCUCCACUUUCUGCUGUGCACUGCAGAAUAAAAGUUCACCAAUCACCCAGAGGAGAGGUAUGAGAUUGUUAAGGAGGUAGAUAUAGCCACUAACCUGCCCCAAAAUCUAAAUCCAUGUUUUCUGGUCAACAUUACUAGUAAUAAAAAUGUUUGAUACAUGAU